UUCAUUUGGGCUGUGCUUCCAGCUUCUCUUCCUGGGCUCUUGCAGUUGCUGUAUCUCUUGGAUGCCGUGCAGAACGGAAUCAGACAGCCAAACCUCAGGUUCACCUUCUCCCUGACACUCUACACUGCUCAUGUGGCAAAGCAAAUCCUGAAGCCAGAGGAGCACAUGUACAUAAAGGUAAACAGAUUCCUUUUGUAACACCAGUAUUUGGACCUGAGGAAGGUACCGGAUUCUACAGUUUUGAUUUUGAGUACAAAACAGAGCAUGAGUGGAUCCUCAGAUUUCUUGGGGAAGGGCUGGGUGACAAACAUUGCUAUGAGCUUUAUGACUACCAGAGGAUUUUCCAGAUCAUUCUU